CCUGGGAGCUUAGUUGGUAAAGAAUCUGCCUGCAAUGCAGGAGACCCAGGUUCAAUCCCUGGGUCAGGA
rnacentral:tRNA from 1 species